rnacentral:rRNA from 1 species
ACGGGAGGCAGCAGCUAAGAAUAUUCCGCAAUGGACGAAAGUCUGACGGAGCGACGCCGCGUGGAUGAUGAAGGUCGGAAGAUUGUAAAAUCCUUUUAUGACUGAGGAAUAAGUGUGGUGGGAGAAACGCCAUAUGGUGACUGUAGGUCAUGAAUAAGCAACGGCUAAUUACGUGCCAGCAGCCGCGGUGACACGUAAGUUGCGAGCGUUGUUCGGAAUUAUUGGGCGUAAAGGGCAUGUAGGCGGUUUUGCAAGCUUGGUGUGAAAUCCCGGAGCUUAACUCCGGAAUUGCGUUGAGAACUGCAUAACUAGAGUCACUGAGGGGCAAUCAGAAUUCCUGGUGUAGGGGUGAAAUCUGUAGAUAUCAGGAAGAACACCGAUGGCGAAGGCAGGUUUCCAGCAGACGACUGACGCUGAGGUGCGAAGGUGCGGGGAGCAAACAGGAUUAGAUACCCUGGUA